AAAAAUAAGGACCAUCCAUUUCAGAAUCAUUGUAAGAAAGCAUUUGACGUCAGUUUUAGCAGCUUGAGCAUAGCAUCUGCCCUUCUUCUUCCAUGGACCGCUAGAAUUUUAAACUUGUUUCAAAUCCCAAUAACCCCAAAGGAAACUAUCACAUACUUUUCCAAUAUUACCGACCAGGUGAUUAAUCUACGCAGGAGAAAGGAAAGUGCAAAAAGAAUUGAUUUCAUGCAGUUAAUGAUCGACUCGG